CAGCAGUGGCAGCAACGGAAAAAAAGAAUUGACGAGCUGGUAAUGAAAAUUAGAAAAUUAAAGUGGGAUGUGGAAAUUUUGGGUUGUCGGCGCCGUAUGGAAAAAUUGAUGUUGUGAGGUCUACUGGCGAUUUGUGUGCAUGAGAUAAGGCCCAAUGAUGAUGAUGAUGAUGAUGUACCUAAAUAAAAUGAUUAUUUCCUUGUGUAUAUGUAAAGUUGUGUGUAUUAAAAAAAAAAAAUGUACAAAGGGGUGUUUAUUCAUUUUCCCAUCGGCAAUGUCCCUGUUAGAACCACACCCGCGUGGUAUAAGUAGGUGUUAUUUGACAUAUUGAUGGUUAAUCGCGCUUGAAUGAAGUUUUUGAUCAAAAUGAUUGACCGUCUAGGGGCCCCUUUAGAUCGUGUACAUAAAAAAACUUUGCAAUUUCGCGCGCGCAUUAAAAAUAGAACAGUAUCAGUUUGUACUUCGUGGCCUUGCACUCGUUUCUCAUUUAUGGUGUUGUUGCUUACGGAAAUAAUUAUGAUUUUUGCGGAAAUUAAAAUUCGGGAAUAUCAUAACUCAGGUUGCUGCAACAACGCCCUGUUUCACUUUUGCUUGACCUCGACAAUGAAUUCCUCGUAUUGGAUUAAAAUUAUAGCCGUGGAAAGUUUGCGGCGGGAUAAACUAUAUUAAUAACAAUAACAAUUGCAUCAAUUCCGUAUAUUUGAAAUAGAUGCUGCUGUUGUGUUCGGGAUGCCGUUAAUUCCCUUUCCAACCUUUCGGUAAGAAGUUGGGAAUCUCGGUGCUUCGUUUCAACAAUGGGCAACAUUUGCUCCAGGCACCGCAUGGACACCAUUGCCAGCUCUUGGGGGUUGGACGGCUCGUGCCACCUGUGCGGGUCCAGCGGGGGUGGUGGUGGUGGUGGCGGCAGAUCUGUUGCUGCUGCUGGGGAGAUGUUUUGGUAGAUGUCUCUUAGGACAUUCAUGUCCUUUGCACCCGCCCUUGGUAACGAAGCUCUGUAACAAUAAGGAGAAAAGCACAGUAUUAAGAAUAGAGUGUAUGUAUAUAUUGCAAGUAUAACUUACUGAAAGUGA